GAAGACAGCAUUUUGUAACUUAUUGCUGGGGGAAUUAAGCAUGUCCUGUGUGACUCCACUUGGUGAAGCCCCUUGGCAGCUCGAGCCUUCUUUCCCGUGGACUUCGCCCCAUGGACCUCUUCCCCUUUGUGGGUUGUGUUUGGCAUCCUUUGCUGUAAAAACCACAGUCACGACUGCAACAAUCUGCAGAACCUGGCAAGAGGCCCUUGUUUUGAAGAUGUCCGUUUCACUCAAUGACUACUCAUACAUCCAACCAUCCUUCAUUAGCAACCGCCCUGGGACCGCCCUGGAUCAAGCACUGGGGAGCCUGGAAUGGGGAAACCUGCUUCUCGACUUGGAGGAGCUCAUGGCCUAGAGGAGGAUCAACAUUGCUGCAAGCAACUUCCCACUAAGUUGCUAAGUCCGGCAGCUUCUUUGAGUGUGAUUAUUCAACAUUUUGGGAGGCCAAGGCGG